AGAGUUUGAUCCUGGCUCAGAUUGAACGCUGGCGGCAGGCCUAACACAUGCAAGUCGAGCGGCAGCGGAAAGUAGCUUGCUACUUUGCCGGCGAGCGGCGGACGGGUGAGUAAUGUCUGGGAAACUGCCUGAUGGAGGGGGAUAACUACUGGAAACGGUAGCUAAUACCGCAUAACGUCGCAAGACCAAAGAGGGGGACCUUCGGGCCUCUUGCCAUCAGAUGUGCCCAGAUGGGAUUAGCUAGUAGGUGGGGUAACGGCUCACCUAGGCGACGAUCCCUAGCUGGUCUGAGAGGAUGACCAGCCACACUGGAACUGAGACACGGUCCAGACUCCUACGGGAGGCAGCAGUGGGGAAUAUUGCACAAUGGGCGCAAGCCUGAUGCAGCCAUGCCGCGUGUAUGAAGAAGGCCUUCGGGUUGUAAAGUACUUUCAGCGGGGAGGAAGGUGUGAGGUUAAUAACCUCAGCAAUGACGUAC
rnacentral:rRNA from 1 species